AGAUUUACCAGCAGCUGAGAUACCAUAGUAAAGAGGUAGUUUUUCCAGAACAAGCUUCAUCCAUCACACCUGUGAUGCAGUGACCUCUGCAAUUUCUGCAAAUUUGGAAAACUGGAUUGCAUGAUUUAUGGUAGUGGAUGAUUAUUUUCACAUGAACUCUCC